AAAGCAAGAACAAAUAUGGUGUUGCACUGAUGUGGAAACCAGUAUUCCUCUGUCUACUAGCCAGUUAUUUUAACUGGAAGGGAAGAGUUUCAUUUUAGUAACACCUGCAAAUUAUUUUAACUCCUUGUAAUAUAACAAAUUUCCAUGGAGGGAGAAAGGAGAGGUUGCUGCCUGUUGCUAAAGUGUAAACCCAAAUAGCAUAAAGCUGUUUCUGAUGUAAAGAUGUUUGCAAAAAGGCACGGAUUUUGCAAUCAGGAAGAGCAAGCAUUUUUCUUUUUCUCUAGAAUUCAAAUCUUUAGUUAUGCUUACAAAAUUAAUCUUAAGAGUUUUUCGGUAUUUGCAGGUGAAAGCUAAAUACAUGUGCAGGCUCUGUGGCAUGUGUUCAUUAUAAUGCUAUUAAUUUUCUUUUUGUACAUUACAGAUUUUAAACAGAGAAAACGAAAGUACAGCAGAUUCCUGCUGAAGCAUGAAUAACCAGGAAUGAUGGAAGAGCUGGCACCAUUUCACUAUCAGAAGCACUCACCUUCAGCAAGUUCAGGGUAAUCCCUUAACUUGAUUUUUGGGGCAGCACUGAUGGACUUGAACAGCUCAGCUGCAUCCAAGUACUAAAGGAAAUAAACCUUGCUAUCCUGAGUAGCAACUGUUAUUAUUUUAAGGAUGGAUUGAGUGAUGUGUGAGAACACUUCAAUAAAAAUUAUAUGAAGUCUUAUUUUCAUUUUCUUGAAGACUAUGCUGAGG